rnacentral:rRNA from 1 species
UUAGAUCGUACCCACAUUUACUUGGAUAACUGUGGUAAUUCUAGAGCUAAUACAUGCAAACAGAGCUCCGACCGGAGACGGAAGGAGCGCUUUUAUUAGAUCAAAACCGAUCGGUGGUGUUUCAUCAUCGUACAACUUGGUGAAUCUGAAUAACUUUAAGCUGAUCGCACGGUCUUGCACCGGCGACGCAUCUUUCAAAUGUCUGCCUUAUCAACUGUCGAUGGUAGGUUCUGCGCCUACCAUGGUUGUAACGGGUAACGGGGAAUCAGGGUUCGAUUCCGGAGAGGGAGCCUGAGAAACGGCUACCACAUCCAAGGAAGGCAGCAGGCGCGCAAAUUACCCACUCCCGGCACGGGGAGGUAGUGACGAAAAAUAACGAUACGGGACUCAUCCGAGGCCCCGUAAUCGGAAUGAGUACACUCUAAACCCUUUAACGAGGAUCAAUUGGAGGGCAAGUCUGGUGCCAGCAGCCGCGGUAAUUCCAGCUCCAAUAGCGUAUAUUAAAGUUGUUGCGGUUAAAAAGCUCGUAGUCGAAUUUGUGUCUCGCACCGCCGGUUCAUCGUUCGCGGUGUUAACUGGCGUGCCGCGGGACGUCCUGCCGGUGGGCUUAGCUCGUGAGGGCGGCCCAAAUCAAUCCUGCCGCGGUGCUCUUCAUUGAGUGUCGAGGUGGGCCGGCACGUUUACUUUGAACAAAUUAAAGUGCUUAAAGCAGGCUAAAAUUUCGCCUGAAUACUGUGUGCAUGGAAUAAUGGAAUAGGACCUCGGUUCUAUUUUGUUGGUUUUCGGAACCCCGAGGUAAUGAUUAAUAGGAACGGAUGGGGGCAUUC